rnacentral:lncRNA from 1 species
UGGGGACUGUGGUGGGGUGGGGGGAGGGGGGAGGGAUAGCAUUAGGAGAUAUACCUAAUGCUAAAUGACGAGUUAAUGGGUGCAGCACACCAGCAUGGCACAUGUAUACAUAUGUAACUAACCUGCACAUUGUGCACAUGUACCCUAAAACUUAAAGUAUAAUAAAAAAAAAAAGUUACUCUCACUGAAGUUCUCUCUUGCCCAUUUCAAUCCCUACUCCCAUCUCCAGCCCUAAGCAAUACUGCUCUGAUAUUCUGUCUGUAUAAAUUUCCCAUCUGUGUAAUAGAAAUGGAAUCAUACAAUAUAUUAUAUUGAGGUCUGACUUUAAUCAUUUAGUUACUAUUUUUGAAGUUAAUUGAUGCUUUAGCUUGUGCCGGUCAUGUGUUUUCCUUUUCAUUGCUUCAUAGUCCAUUGUGUGGAUAUAUAAACAGUGUUUAUUCAUUCAUCAGUUGAUGGACAUUUAAUUAUUUCUGUUUUUUGUAUUAUGAAUAAUGCUGCUUUGAGCAUUCAUAAUACAGUCAUGUAAUGUAUAAUAACAUUUUGGUCAAUGAUGGAUAGCAUGUAUGAUGGCAGUCCCAUAAGAUUAUGAUAGAGUUUAAAAAUUCCUAUCACCUAGUGUCUUGUAGCUGUCACAAGUGUGUAGCGUAACACAUUAGACAGGCAUCAGUGAUGAUGCCGAUGGAAAGGAAUCUACUGGUUUUCCAGUUAUGUUAAAGUACUGUAUAGAACAUACAACUAUGUGCAGUAUAUAAUACUUGGUAGUGAAAAUAAAUGACUAUGUUCCUGGUUUAUGUAUUUACUGUGCUAUACUUUCUAUAAUUAUUUGAGAAUAUAUUCUAUCUGCGUAUUAAAACAAACCACUUACCUGUAAAACAGCCUCAAGUAGGCCUUUGAGGAUGUAUGCUAGAAGGUGUUGUUAUCGUAAGAGAUGACAGCACCAUGUGUGUUUCUGCCCCUUCCAGUGGGACAAGAUGUGGAUUCAGAAGGCAGUGACAUUGAUGAUCCUAAUCCUGUGUAGGUCUAGGCUGAUGUGUGUGUCUGAGCCUCAGCUGUUAACAAAAAAAGUUUAAAAUUUAAAACUUAAAUUUUAAAAUAGAAAAAAUAUAGAAUAAUAUUUUAAAAAUUUGCACAGCUGUACAAUAUGUUUAUGUUUUAAGGUAAGUGGUAUUACAAAAUAGUUGUUUUUAAAAUUGUUUAAGUUUAUAAAUUUUAAAUGUUACAGUAGGCUAAGGUUAAUUGUUGAGUAAAUAAAAAUAGAUUUCUAUAAAUUUAGGGUAGUCUAAAGAUACAAUGUUCAUAAAGUCUAUAGUAGUGUACAGUAAGGUCCUAGGCCUUCACAUUCACUCACCAUUCACUCACCGAAUCAUCCAGAGCAACGUCCAGUCCUUUAAGCUCUGUUCAUGGUAAAGUGCCCUAUACAGAUGUACUAAUUUUUAUAUUUUAUACCAUAUUUUAUUGUAGCUUUUCUAUAUUUAGAUUUUAGAUAUAUAAAUGCUUACCGUUUUGUUACCUUUGCCUGCAGUAUUCAGUACAGUUACAUGUUGUACAGUUUGAAGCCCAGAGCAAUUGGCUGUAUCAUACAGCCUAGGUGUAUAGGGGGCUAUGCCAUCCAGGUUUAUGUAAGUGCACUCUAUGAUGUCUGCGUAAUUACUACAUCACUUAACGAUGCAUUUCUCAGAACACAUCACUGUCGUUAAGAGACACAUGUCUGUACAAAUGACUUUGGAGAAUAUGCUUUCAGUUCACUUGGAGCAUUCCUGGGUGUGGAUUUGCUGGACCAAAUGGUAAGUUCAAAUUUAAUUUUUUUUAAGAAACAAGAAAGCUAUCUUCUAAAUUAGCUGUGCCAAUGUACAUUUCUACCGUGCUGCAUAGUACCAAUUUCAUACAGUGUAUGAAAUUGGUACACUGUAUGGUAAGCCCUAGCAUGUAAGAAAUGAAUAAAGUAACACAUAUAAAGAUUAGUAUAAAGCAAAUGAGAUUAUUAUUGUUGUUAUUGUCUUUGUCAGAUUCUCAGAAUAAUUAAGAAUAUAUUUUUAUAUAAAUGUGCUUGGCAACAUAGCUGAAAACAGCGUUAGUAGUUAUAUACUUUUAUCAGUAACAAAGACAUAAAUUUUCCGGGAGAAAAACACUUGUAAUAACAAUGUCAGAAUUAACAUACAAAUUCUGCAAAACAUUUUUGGCAGUUUAAUUGGGGCAGUGUUUUGUAGACAAAUGAACAACUUAAGUAAGGGGAAUCAACAAAACUUGGGUUUCAAAAGUUAUCUGGGUUUAGAGUGUGAAACUUCGUCGGAGGACACACACCUUGCGUGAAUGAGAUGCCUCGGUGUGUGUGGACAUGUUGGAGGUACAGCAUAAUGGUGGCUUCCUCCAGAAAGGGACAUUUGGGGGAGCACCAAUGGCUCCUGUCUCACAGUGGAUUCAUUCCACCUAGACAACACAGCCUGAUGUGGCAUGGACAUGAAUGGAGGUCAAAUGGGCAGUAGCUGAGAGGAUCAGCCCUGACAAGGGCCAGGGUGAAAGACCUGGGAGUCUCUUCAGGUGCAAAGUCUUCAGUUGAAAAAAGGAGGUGGUCACAGGAGAUACUGAGCUGGAUCAAUAAAGUGCAGGAGAGAGAGUUGUUGGCCCUGGGGAGCGAGUAGUAUGGACUCUUAAGUUUUCUCCUCCUUCCAUUAAUUUCUCUUCCAGUGCAGACUUCAGUCUUAGACUUCCCAGCUGCCUUGAGGGAUUGGAUGAGCCUUGGCCAGCUCUUGAAGGAAACAAUAAAAUCACUUUAAUGUGCUACUUUUCAUUUUGAAGUCAUUACAGUAUCAUUUGCAAAACUCAACAAGGAAAGAUGCCUGUGGAUGGCCGUGUUCUGGGAGUCACUGUGAUGAGGUGCUGCCUGCUUUCGCCCAACCUGAUCUGGGGCUCAGACAGCUAACAGGCCCGAGUGGCUAGGAGCCAGGUUCUCACACGUCCCUGAGGAACUAGAGAGGAACGCCUCUGGGAAGCCCAGCCAGAGCCAACCGGAAGGGCCUUUUGGUGAAGUCUGACAUCCUACAUUAGUUUCUCUGGACCUGGCCUCGCAGGAGUUUCCAGCUCAUGAGGGCAGAGGAGAUGAAGAGAGGCCGAUCGACGUGAGGGUUGUGCAGGCGGCCCCUCUGAGGUGUGACUCCAGUAAGUACUCUGGAAUUACUUGCUGAGAAAGAAAAGUCUGGAUGCCAAGAAAGGUGUGACAUCCUUGCUGGCUUCAAUGUGAAGAGCCACCCUGAUUCUGGGAUUCUGAUAGGAAUAAGGUAGAUGAUGCAUAUCUGAACCUGGAAACCGCUUCCCACUGUAGAGCGUGUCUGAGUCAUGUCCCUUAGCUUCAGCAGAGCAGAUCCAGCAGGCUCUGAGCUUGGCCUCUUUGCCUGGAGCGAGACCUCUAGGUAAUGUCUCCAGAGAGGGUGGCACAAAGGAUCCUGGAUCUCCUGAUCACAGCAGCCCAAGAGUGCCGUGCGUGCACCAUGGCUCAAGAAGAAGACUUAAAAAGGGGAAACUCCUCCUGAGGGUGCUGUAGGAGACAUCUGCAAAAAAGAAGAUGCUGGCAAUAUGCCAUCAACCUCAGAGGGGAGUAUUUACCCUGAAAUGGCUCACUUCCUGAGGAACAAACUUGCUGGAUCUAGUGUACGGAAACCUGAUUCUGGGUUCCUUUGGGAAGGAGCAUUACGGGCCUGGAUACCCUCUGAGGUCAAAUCAUUGGGCUUGUGGCCAUGAGACCACAGACUUUG